rnacentral:rRNA from 1 species
UACGUAGGGUGCAAGCGUUAAUCGGAAUUACUGGGCGUAAAGCGUGCGCAGGCGGUUUUGCAAGACAGAUGUGAAAUCCCCGGGCUCAACCUGGGAACUGCAUUUGUGACCGCACGGCUGGAGUGCGGCAGAGGGGGAUGGAAUUCCGCGUGUAGCAGUGAAAUGCGUAGAUAUGCGGAGGAACACCGAUGGCGAAGGCAAUCCCCUGGGCCUGCACUGACGCUCAUGCACGAAAGCGUGGGGAGCAAACAGG